AGAGUUUGAUCCUGGCUCAGGAUGAACGCUGGCGGCGUGCUUAACACAUGCAAGUCGAACGAAGCACUUUAUUUGAUUUCCUUCGGGACUGAUUAUUUUGUGACUGAGUGGCGGACGGGUGAGUAACGCGUGGGUAACCUGCCUUGUACAGGGGGAUAACAGUUGGAAACGGCUGCUAAUACCGCAUAAGCGCACAGCAUCGCAUGAUGCAGUGUGAAAAACUCCGGUGGUAUAAGAUGGACCCGCGUUGGAUUAGCUAGUUGGUGAGGUAACGGCCCACCAAGGCGACGAUCCAUAGCCGACCUGAGAGGGUGACCCGCCACAUUGGGACUGAGACACGGCCCAAACUCCUACGGGAGGCAGCAGUGGGGAAUAUUGCACAAUGGGGGAAACCCUGAUGCAGCGACGCCGCGUGAGUGAAGAAGUAUCUCGGUAUGUAAAGCUCUAUCAGCAGGGAAGAAAAUGACGGUACCUGACUAAGAAGCCCCGGCUAACUACGUGCCAGCAGCCGCGGUAAUACGUAGGGGGCAAGCGUUAUCCGGAUUUACUGGGUGUAAAGGGAGCGUAGACGGCAUGGCAAGCCAGAUGUGAAAACCCAGGGCUCAACCUUGGGAUUGCAUUUGGAACUGCCAGGCUGGAGUGCAGGAGAGGUAAGCGGAAUUCCUAGUGUAGCGGUGAAAUGCGUAGAUAUUAGGAGGAACACCAGUGGCGAAGGCGGCUUACUGGACUGUAACUGACGUUGAGGCUCGAAAGCGUGGGGAGCAAACAGGAUUAGAUACCCUGGUAGUCCACGCGGUAAACGAUGAUUGCUAGGUGUAGGUGGGGAUGGACCC
rnacentral:rRNA from 1 species